rnacentral:lncRNA from 1 species
AAAGCAAUGAAGAAUACUGAGAGAAACUAAAGAAGACCUACACAAAGAGAGGAAUGUACAACAAUCAUGGAUUGAAAAAUAGAGAGAGAGACAAAGGGAAUGGAGAGAAUAUGUGUCUAUAAUUCAAAGCCCACAAGGAAGCUCAAGUAAAAAACAAUGUCCCACACUUUAAGGACAAACAAACGAAUGACAGAAGGCUUCACCUCAUCAAACUUGCUCAAGUUCGCUGCCCCAUGGUGGUAGGCCAUGUGCCUCCCAGGAUAGCAAACGUUUUAUAGUACAGCAGCCUGAAAAAUUCUGAGAUACAGAGGCACACUCUAUGUUGUUUACACAACUAUGAAAUCAUCUGAGAUCUCAUCAAGAUGGGGGCAUAGGUGGACUCUGAACUCACAUCCUCCCACAAACACAACCACGUUACAACUAUUCUUGGGAAAAUUACCCCAGAGAGAGAACUGAAAACUGGAUAAAAAUAACCCCCACAACAAAGGACAGUCCUGACUGAGG